rnacentral:rRNA from 1 species
GUGAGGAAUAUUGCGCAAUGGAGGCAACUCUGACGCAGCCAUGCCGCGUGCAGGAAGAAGGCGCUACGCGUUGUAAACUGCUUUUAACCGGGAAGAAACCCCCGGACGUGUCCUGGGUUGACGGUACCGGAGGAAUAAGCACCGGCUAACUUCGUGCCAGCAGCCGCGGUAAUACGAAGGGUGCAAGCGUUAUCCGGAUUCAUUGGGUUUAAAGGGUGCGUAGGCGGAGCGUUAAGUCAGUGGUGAAAUCCUGCAGCUUAACUGUAGACUUGCCAUUGAUACUGGCGCUCUUGAGUGCGCUUGAAGUGGGCGGAAUGUGCCGUGUAGCGGUGAAAUGCUUAGAUAUGGCACAGAACACCAAUUGCGAAGGCAGCUCACUAAGGCGAUACUGACGCUGAGGCACGAAAGCGUGGGGAUCGAACAGGAUUAGAUACCCCAGUAGUCC